rnacentral:sRNA from 1 species
CUUCCGUGAAAUGACGGCGUGCCGCAAAAAUUCCUUGAAGCGGCCGGCACGGUAAAGCGCCAGCAAGCCGUCGUCCCGGGUCGAGGCGCCGUCG